UUGUCAGUUUACAUAAUCCUUACCUGUUUCUACUUUUGGAAGGCAGAAUAGAACAUGAUGAUUGGAGUUUGUAUGGUAUGUGAUCAAUGAGUUUGCAUGGUCAGGCUAUAACACUUGCAACACCCGAUUGCUCCUGAUUCUUCUUACUGAC
rnacentral:snoRNA from 1 species